rnacentral:rRNA from 1 species
CCCUUAGAUGUUCUGGGCCGCACGCGCGCUACACUGAUGCAUUCAACAAGCCUAGCCUUGACCGAGAGGUCCGGGUAAUCUUUGAAACUGCAUCGUGAUGGGGCUAGAUUAUUGCAAUUAUUAAUCUUCAACGAGGAAUGCCUAGUAAGCGUGAUUCAUCAAAUCGCGUUGAUUACGUCCCUGCCCUUUGUACACACCGCCCGUCGCUACUACCGAUUGAAUGGUUUAGUGAGGCCUUCGGAUCCGCGACUCGUUUGUGGAGAAGUUGGACAAACUCAGUCAUUUAGAGGAAGUAAAAGUCGUAACA